rnacentral:rRNA from 1 species
AUUGAACGCUGGCGGCAGGCCUAACACAUGCAAGUCGAACGAGUGGCGGACGGGUGAGUAAUGUCUGGGAAACUGCCUGAUGGAGGGGGAUAACUAUUGGAAACGGUAGCUAAUACCGCAUACCCUCGGAUGUGCCCAGAUGGGGUUAGCUAGUAGGUGGGGUAACGGCUCACCUACGCGUCGAUCCCUAGCUGGUCUGCGAGGAUGACAGGCCACACUGGAACUGAGACACGGUCCAGCCUCCUACGGGAGGCAGCGGUGGGGAAGAUUGCACAAUGGGCGCAAGGCUGAUGCAGCCAUGCCGCGUGUGUGAAGAAGGCCUUCGGGUUGUAAAGUACUUUCAGCGGGGAGGCGUUGCCCGCAGAGGAAGCACCGGCUAACUCCGUGCCAGCAGCCGCGGUAAUUC